rnacentral:misc_RNA from 1 species
GGCCUCUCACAACCAUAUUUGCAACAUCAACACUGUCAAGUACUUAACUAAGUUCAAUCCCAAUCAUUUGAAAUACUUGCAUACCAUAAACUUUAUUUAAUGGCUCAUAUUUCAUGUUCUCAGGUAUUUGUAAAUUCAUAACUUUAAUUUUUGUUUAAAUUAUCAAUUAAAGUAAUAACUUCCCAAUAUGCAUGAUAAAAUAUAAAUUUACUUGUACAGUAUUGAGUUACUUACGCCUGUACAGAAUAAGUUUGACUCAACUCCGAAUUAUAGAUACAUAAUCAACAGCUUUCUUUUUACCUAACAUGCUGAUUCUGAUUAUC